rnacentral:rRNA from 1 species
UACGUAGGGUGCAAGCGUUGUCCGGAAUUACUGGGCGUAAAGAGCUCGUAGGUGGUUUGUCGCGUUGUUCGUGAAAACUCACAGCUCAACUGUGGGCGUGCGGGCGAUACGGGCAGACUUGAGUACUGCAGGGGAGACUGGAAUUCCUGGUGUAGCGGUGGAAUGCGCAGAUAUCAGGAGGAACACCGGUGGCGAAGGCGGGUCUCUGGGCAGUAACUGACGCUGGAGGAGCGAAAGCGUGGGGAGCGAACAGG